AGCUGGAACUCAGGUUUGCAGAGGGAGCCCAAACCAACCUAGGCUGAGAUGCUGUUCCUCCUGAGAUAAACCUAACCCCGCACAGAUUCCCGGCUGGCUGGCAGAUGUCUAUGCUUAGCGUGAACGAUUAAGCGACUCACUGCGCUCCGGGGAUUGUCACAAUGCUGGGCCGGGGCAAACGGCACGGACGGACUCAACUCCCAGGGUGCGCUAUCGGCUCCAGCCGGAGCCUGACUCGACCUGCAAACCCACCGCUCCGCUGCACGCGAACAGCCUCCGCCGGCCAAGUGCACCCCCAGCUGCGCCCCAACUUUGCCUUGUGUGGUCCCAAACUUUCCCUGGUGGGUUCACAGGAAAAUAAAACUAAAGGACAGACGCCUCACUAGAGAGCCGGGAGCUGGGAUGCAGCGUGGGGAGGGGCUUGGCCGGCAUCUCCCAGAAUCGCUGGUGGGUAGCUGGGGAAGGGGAGCGUCCCUCUUAGCGCCUCCCCGACAGCAGGCCCCCCACCCCGAGCCGGAAGCAGGGCGGUUUGGGUGGGAGAAGCAGGGGGUGCUCAGAAGCCGCACCCGGGAGCUGAGAGAGUUGGCUAACUCCUUUCGGGGCCUGGGGCGCCCACGUCCUCCGUGAAGCCACCUGUGAGUCUGCCGCCGGAUGCACGCCAUCCGGAUCCAGGGACCCCGACCUCUGCGGCCCCCGAGCCCGGCGGCUGGUCUGGGUUCGGCCGCCCGCACUUACCGGGAUCCGCCAGGAAGACGCGCACACUGCGGGGGCCCGAGCGCGGCCCGCCGCUCCGGUCCUCCGCCUCCUCCGGCCCUCCGCCUCCUCGCUCCGAGGCCCGGGCUGCGGCUCGCACUCGCCGCCGCUCUCGCCGUCCGGGGCUGGGCUCGGGAGGAGACUAAGCCGCCGCGAGCCCCGCGCGCCGCCUCUGGUGCUGCCUGGCCCCCUCCGGCCCCUCCCUCUCGCCUCUGCGCGGGGAGCGUGGCCGCAGCGCGCUCGGCUCCCGCGCCCUCUGCUCCACGCCUCCUGGGCGCAGAGGCGACGCCGGCUGCGGUCUCUUAGGAGAUUUCUCCGCAGUGGGGACAGGGGUCAGGAUUUGCAGACGGGCAAGGACGAAGAGGAGAAAUCAUACAGGGUUUCUUCAUGCUUUCCUGGGACUAGGGGAAACGUCCGUCGUAUCUGGAAAAUGCACCACCUUUGACUUUGGGGCCACAUGAGCAAGGAAAUAAGGAUAAAUAAUACUGGUAAAAGGAGAUACACCGGGGAACAGGCCUCGAUUCAGGACAGCC
ensembl:lncRNA